rnacentral:lncRNA from 1 species
GGAGCCGGAAGUAGUCCCGCCUGGAACUGGACGACCCCGGAAGCUGCAGUGCCAGCGGCGGCGCGGCAGGGGGCGCGGUUACCCGUGGUUUUUCGCGUUGGACGACGGGCUCUGAGGGCCAAGUUCUUGUCACGAAUUUAGUUUGUUUCAGAGCGGCAGGACUCGUAGCUAGAGAACGAGGACCCACGACGCGUACGCGUUACAGUCCUGUUUCCCUAGAAACGGAGCUGCCGGCGCGGAGGUGGCUUUGAGAUUCUGCGAAAGACCUGACUGCUCUUCAACAAUUAUUGUGUUGCACCCUCCCAGGCGCCCAGUCCAAACCCCGUCAGAAUAACCACCCGGGACAGCGGUGGUCGAAGUAACUACGCCUAACUUUUCGCUUUCCAUCGUGUCCCCUCCAUAAAAACACUGCUGGGCCCCCGGAAUCCAAAGGCGAAGGAGGCACACUCCCUGCCUUAGACUUGUUGAGAGUUUUAUAGGGGCAGUGCAUAACGUACAUGAUGGUGUAUGACGAUUCGGAUGGUAGUACGAGUCAUAAACUCAAAUUCCAACAGCAUCCAGCCAGGACUUUUAAAAUUCCUUGCAACGCAAGUCUACUGGUGACAAAUUCCCUCAAAUUUUGUUUGCCUGAGAAAGUCUUUCGCCCUCACUGUUGAAGGAUAAUUUCACUGGAUACAGAAUUCUAGAUGGAGUCUUACUCUGUCGGCUCACUGCAACCUCCACCUCCGGAGUUAAAUUGAUUCUCCUGCCUCAGCCUCCCGAGUAGUUGGGAUUACAGGUGACUGACACCAUGCCUGGCUAAUCUUUGUAUUUUUAGUAGAGACAGAGUUUUGCCAUAUUGGCCAGGCUGGUCUUGAAUUGCUGACCUUGGGAUCUCCCCGCCUCGGCCUCCCAAAGUGCCAGGAUUACAGGCCUGAGCCACUGCACCCAGCCAAUAUUUUAUUUUUUCUUGCUAUGGAGUCUCACUCUAUCACCCAGGUGGGAGUGCAGUGGCGUGAUCUUGGCUCACUGCAACCUUUGCCUCCUGGGCUCAAAUGAUCCUCUAUCCUCAGCCUCCUGAGUAGCUGGGACUACAGGCGUAUGCCGUCAUGUUUGGCUAACUGGCUAACACCACCUCUAUCUGGUUCCAAAACAUUUUCACCACUCUAAAAGGAAAUCCCAUACUUGCUAAGCCAUCAAUUCCCAUUCUCCCCUCUCUCUGCCCCUGCUAACCACAAAUAUGCUUUCUGUCUCUGUGGGUUUACCUGUUAUGGAUAUUUCAUGUAGAUGGAUCCAUAUGAUAUGUGACCUUUUUUGUCUUUCUUCUUUCUCUUAACACAAUGUUUUGAGAGUCAUCCAUAUUGUAGCAUGUUUCAGUAACUUUCUUCCUUUUUAUGGCUGAAUAAUAUUCCAUGAUAUGUCUAUAUUACAAUCUGUUUAUCCAUUCUUCUAUUGAUAAGACAUCUGGCUGUUUCCACUUUUUUGCUAUUGUGAAUAGUGCUGCUGUGAACUUGUGUGUACACCAAACUCUUUUUAAUAUCUAGUCAAAUAUGGCUCAAAUAUAGUUUAUGGCCAGAAUGCUUAUAAAUACUUUUGGAAGCAGUUAACUAUCUUCCUGAGCUGGAUUCAAUCAAGACCACUACACUGUUGUCUAAUCUCUGACUUUGUUUAUGUCUUUGUUUCUAGUUUUACUACUCAAUAAAUUGAGAAAGUAUAUAGAGUAUCUCCUAAUCCUUGCUGUGUUCCUGUAACCAUAUAAGUAUAAAACUAAAAUCUGACAAAGUCUUUAUAGUCAAUGUCACAUUCAGUCACUUAAGGAACCAUUAACAUCAGAAAGAGAAAAGACCGUGUUUUACAAAAUGUUUCCAACUGAUCAAUUACUUACUGGGAAGAAAAGUAGGGUGAAAGUGCCAGGCUAUUCAGAUCAGUUAGGGUAACAAAGAUGUAAAUAUUUUUCUUCUUUGAAUUGCAAUGGUGGGGAUCAUUUCUCUUCUUCAGUAUGUAAUAAUAUAAUAAAAACUGUUUUUUCCGCAUUAUUUUUGUUGUUGUGUCCAGCAGCCCUGUUGCAAAAUCACUCUAAAGGUUGGUAUAAUUUUCAGAAAAAGCUUCAUGCCAAUUCCUGCUGCUCAAUAUCUAAGACAUCUGUGAUUCUAUUCCAGUUUCUUUGCUUAUCCAUCCUAAAUUAUCUGUGUACUGCUCCCAUUCUUAGGUUCAUUGGCUCAAUGUACAUUUGCAAGAACUACAGUGGUUGGCCAAAACCAGCUGUCACAUUAACACACAUAUACACACACACACAUAUUCAGUGUUCUCUUUUCUAUUGUCUUCAUCAAUCUAAAGAUUUUGGCUUCAUGUGGUUUGCUACUUUAGAACAAUUUCUUUUAAAUAACUCUGAGUAAAUUCUGACUUGGACUAGGUGCAGGCUUAAAAAUGAUAAAGA